UGUGGGAGCGAGCUUGCUCGCGAUGACGUCGGCACAUCCAGCAUCAGUGCCAACUGAUCCACCGCUAUCGCGAGCAAGCUCGCUCCCACA
rnacentral:antisense_RNA from 1 species